GCCCACGUAGCUCAGCUGGUAGAGCGCGUCCUUGGUAAGGACGAGGUUCCCCGGUUCAAGACCGGGCGUGGGCU
rnacentral:tRNA from 1 species